rnacentral:rRNA from 1 species
CCUACGGGAUGCAGCAGUGGGGAAUAUUGCACAAUGGGGGAAACCCUGAUGCAGCGACGCCGCGUGAGUGAAGAAGUAUUUCGGUAUGUAAAGCUCUAUCAGCAGGGAAGAAACCCACCCUCCGGGGUGGCUGACGGUACCUGACUAAGAAGCCCCGGCUAACUACGUGCCAGCAGCCGCGGUAAUACGUAGGGGGCAAGCGUUAUCCGGAUUUACUGGGUGUAAAGGGAGCGUAGGUGGCAAGGCAAGUCAGAUGUGAAAACCCGGGGCCCAACCCCGGGAGUGCAUUUGAAACUGUCUGGCUAGAGUGCAGGAGAGGUAAGUGGAAUUCCUAGUGUAGCGGUGAAAUGCAUAGAUAUUAGGAGGAACACCGAUUGCGAAGGCAGCUUACCAAGCUACUUCUGACGUUGAGGCACGAAAGCGUGGGGAGCAAACAGGAUUAGAUACCCCAGUAGUC